ensembl:lncRNA
ACACACACACACACACACACACACACACUGACAUUCCAAACAAAGAGGAGAGGUCAUUGCCACCCUGGUCUCUAGGUCCCGGUGCCAUUUUAUCUGCCGAACGUCAGAAAACAUAUUAUACCCAACAGGAUUACAGUGGAAGCUGAUUUCAUCUUUCAGCAGUUAACUGAUGAGAAACGGAGUAGCUCAACACACAGAGCACACGGGCGCCUUUAUAUCCCCGUCUAGUGGUGGAAGAUGGAAGUUACAGCAAAUUACUUUGGCGAGCUGUGGGUACGCCUGGGAUACCGGCUGGUACCAGUCGAAUCUCUACGGCAGCUCACAGAGAAAUAUGGAAGCAUCACUGCUGCAGAAAGACUGCUGAUGUGCUUUGAUCGUUUGGUGCGAAACCAGGUUGGACAAACUUGUCAAAAAGGAAAAUGGCAACGCUGUCUCCGUUUAGCCGGGCUCUGAGGCCAACAGCUAACAAUAUGUUCAUCAUGAUUGAAUCUGGUAACCUUUACGGAUGCAGGACAUCCAGUAUAUCAAAAUAAAUAACACCAAAAGUCACUUGCAAAAUCAAAGACUUCAACUUUGUUUUGUAUGUUCAUGCUUAACGCAAAGG